rnacentral:rRNA from 1 species
CUCAGGAUGAACGCUGAGCGGUCUGCUUAACACAUGCAAGUCGAACGCAACCUUCGGGUUGAGUGGCGGACGGGUGAGUAACGCGUGAGAAUCUGCCUUGGGGUCGGGGACAACCACUGGAAACGGUGGCUAAUACCGGAUAAGCCUUUGGGUAAAAAAUUUAUUGCCCCAAGAGGAGCUCGCGUCUGAUUAGCUAGUUGGUGAGGUAAAAGCUCACCAAGGCAGCGAUCAGUAGCUGGUCUGAGAGGACGAUCAGCCACACUGGGACUGAGACACGGCCCAGACUCCUACGGGAGGCAGCAGUGGGGAAUUUUCCGCAAUGGGCGAAAGCCUGACGGAGCAAGACCGCGUGAGGGAGGAAGGCUCUUGGGUUGUAAACCUCUUUUCUCAGGGAAGAAGCUCUGACGGUACCUGAGGAAUCAGCCUCGGCUAACUCCGUGCCAGCAGCCGCGGUAAUACGGAGGAGGCAAGCGUUAUCCGGAAUUAUUGGGCGUAAAGCGUCCGCAGGUGGCGAUUCAAGUCUGCUGUCAAAGCACGGGGCUUAACUCCGUUAAGGCAGUGGAAACUGAAUAGCUAGAGUGCCGUAGGGGUAGAGGGAAUUCCCGGUGUAGCGGUGAAAUGCGUAGAGAUCGGGAAGAACAUCGGUGGCGAAAGCGCUCUACUGGACGGCAACUGACACUCAGGGACGAAAGCUAGGGGAGCGAAUGGGAUUAGAUACCCCAGUAGUCCUAGCUGUAAACGAUGGAUACUAGGUGUAGCUUGUAUCGACCCGAGCUGUGCCGAAAGCUAACGCGUUAAGUAUCCCGCCUGGGGAGUACGCACGCAAGUGUGAAAC